rnacentral:rRNA from 1 species
UGGGGAAUAUUGCACAAUGAGGGAAACCUUGAUGCAGCCAUGCCGCGUGUGUGAAGAAGGCCCGAGGGUUGUAAAGCACUUUCAAUUGUGAGGAAGGUAGUGUAGUUAAUACCUGCAUUAUUUGACGUUAACUUUAGAAGAAGCACCGGCUAACUCUGUGCCAGCAGCCGCGGUAAUACAGAGGGUGCAAGCGUUAUUCGGAAUUACUGGGCGUAAAGCGCGCGUAGGCGGAUUAUUAAGUCAGUUGUGAAAGCCCCGGGCUCAACCUGGGAACGGCAUCUGAUACUGGUAGUCUAGAGUUUAGUAGAGGGAAGGGGAAUUUCUAGUGUAGCAGUGAAAUGCGUAGAUAU